UACGGAGGGAGCUAGCGUUGUUCGGAAUUACUGGGCGUAAAGCGCACGUAGGCGGCUUUGUAAGUUAGAGGUGAAAGCCCGGGGCUCAACUCCGGAAUUGCCUUUAAGACUGCAUCGCUUGAAUCCGGGGAGAGGUGAGUGGAAUUCCGAGUGUAGAGGUGAAAUUUCGUAGAUAUUCGGAAGAACACCAGUGGCGAAGGCGGCUCACUGGACCGGUAUUGACGCUGAGGGUGCGAAAAGCGUGGGGGAGCAAACAGG
rnacentral:rRNA from 1 species